ACCCUGUUCCUGGAGAGAUACCCUCCUGUAGGUUUUAACUCCGACCCUGUUCCUGGAGAGAGACCCUCCUGUAGGUUUUAACUCCGACCCUGUUCCUGGAGAGAUACCCUCCUGUAGGUUUUAACUCCGACCCUGUUCCUGGAGAGAGACCCUCCUGUAGGUUUU